CCGACAUGAACCCCAAAACAAACUAGAUCUUUAUAAUAAGUCAUUUAAAACCAUCAAUUAGCUAAAAUCCCAUAAUAUAUAUUAAAACAAAUAGUGUGGAAACAUAAAACAAGCCUGACAUUGGGGUGUCACCAGUUAUGAGAAACUACAACUUAUCUAGGAAUAAGAAAAGACAACAGAGUUCGAAAAUAAACUACUAAGAUAGUAUAAAUAAGAUAGAAAGGAGAGCACUAUGCUGCGAACGCCAAAGCAGGUACUUAGUCAACUCUGGAGACCUGCUGGAAGGCUGAUCAGCACUCACUAUCGCGUCCCGAGACUCCUGGAUCUACAAAUAAAGUACAGAAAGGAAUCUGAUUAUUCCAACUCAGUAAGUAACAAG
rnacentral:lncRNA from 1 species